AAGGGGAGGAUGCCCCGGUGCAGGCCGUGCCUCACUGUCCACUGUGAUGGGGUGAUUGCCUUAGGGGUGGCUCUCAUCUGAGGAGCCUCCAGCUCCAUCUUGGCCAGAUCUUGCUCCCCAGAUCCAGAUCCAGGCCCCCAGAGCAGCUUCUUCCUCUCCCUCCAGCUCUGCAGCUUCCAAGUCCUGGAUGAGCUCGGAAGACACGUGCUGCUGCGGAAGGACUGUGGCCCAGUGGACACCAAGGUUCCAGGUGCUGGGAGAGCCCAAGGCUGCUGGGGAGCCCAAGUCAGCCUUCACUCAGGGCUCAGCCAUGAUUUCUUCUCUGUCCCAAAACCAUCCAGACAACAGAAACGAGACUUUCAGCUCAGUCAUUUCCCUGUUGAAUGAGGAUCCCCUGCCCCAGAUGGCUUCAAUCUUCAAGAACUUUGUCAUUACCUAUAACCGGACAUAUGAGUCAAAGGAAGAAGCCCGGUGGCGCCUGUCCGUCUUUGUCAAUAACAUGGUGCGAGCACAGAAGAUCCAGGCCCUGGACCGUGGCACAGCUCAGUAUGGAGUCACCAAGUUCAGUGAUCUCACAG
rnacentral:sRNA from 1 species